rnacentral:misc_RNA from 1 species
AAUCAUCAAGCCUUUGGUUUUCGUGACCACGGGCUUGGACGUGGGGGCUUGCUGCGGCGACGCGGCUCCUCUUAAAUGCAUCGGUCGGACCCCUCGGGAUCCCUUCCUGGACGUUGUAACAUCCUCGUCUUAUGGAGCGUCCCUUGCCGACCUUGACCUGCCUCUGGAGUGGCGGUCAACACAAUUGAA